rnacentral:rRNA from 1 species
AUUGAACGCUGGCGGCAGGCUUAACACAUGCAAGUCGAGCGAGCGGCGGACGGGUGAGUAAUGUCUGGGAAACUGCCUGAUGGAGGGGGAUAACUACUGGAAACGGUAGCUAAUACCGCAUACCAUCAGAUGUGCCCAGAUGGGAUUAGCUAGUAGGUGGGGUGAUGGCGCACCUAGGCGACGAUCCCUAGCUGGUCUGAGAGGGUGACCGGCCAACGUGGAACUGAGACACGGCCCAGAAUCCUACGGGAGGCAGCAGUGGGGAGUAUUGCACAAGGGGGGCAAGCCUGAGGCAGCCAUGCCGGGUGUGGGAAGAGGGUCUGCGGGUUGUAAAGCACUUUCAGCGAGGAGGCGUUACUCGCAGAAGAAGCACCGGCUAACUCCGUGCCAGCCGCCGCGGUAAUAC